GAAUAAUAAACUUGAGAAGGAACUGGGCCUACGGGUUUGGUUUUUCUCUUAUUUUUUACCGUGAACUGUCUUAUAGCAUGGCGCUAGUAGAGAUGCCUGAGCCACCAUACGGGGUAGGCGGCACAGGAUGAUUUUAAUCGAAGCCAUGGUCAAGCCGACUUUUUUUCAGCUUGGUACCCCAAAAAUUAAUUAUUCUACCAAAUGAAUUCAGUAUUAAUAUUGUAACAUGGGCUCGCUGAAAGGUGGCCUAUAAAACAACUUUUAACAACGGAUCUCUUGGUUCUCGCAUCGAUGAAGAACGUAGCAAAGUGCGAUAACUAGUGUGAAUUGCAUAUUCAGUGAAUCAUCGAGUCUUUGAACGCAUCUUGCACCUGCUGGUAUUCCAGCAGGUACGCCUGUUUCAGUAUCAGAAACAACUCUUCCCUUAAGAUUUUUUUCUUAAGGGGACAUUGAGGGUAUCUGGCUUAGAAGUAAAAUCUCUAGCCCGGAGACGCUUUAAAUGACUUAAGGCCUGCAAGCCAAAGUUUGAUUGCGCCUGAACUUUUUCUUAAUUUCAAGCGAAAGCUCUUGCGAACUAGAACUUUAUUAUUGCCUUGGGGGCCUCCCAAAGAAAACAUUCAACAACUUGAUCUGAAAUCAGGUGGGAUUACCCGCUGAACUUAAGAAUAAUAAACUUGAGAAGGAACUGGGCCUACGGGUUUGGUUUUUCUCUUAUUUUUUACCGUGAACUGUCUUAUAGCAUGGCGCUAGUAGAGAUGCCUGAGCCACCAUACGGGGUAGGCGGCACAGGAUGAUUUUAAUCGAAGCCAUGGUCAAGCCGACUUUUUUUCAGCUUGGUACCCCAAAAAUUAAUUAUUCUACCAAAUGAAUUCAGUAUUAAUAUUGUAACAUGGGCUCGCUGAAAGGUGGCCUAUAAAACAACUUUUAACAACGGAUCUCUUGGUUCUCGCAUCGAUGAAGAACGUAGCAAAGUGCGAUAACUAGUGUGAAUUGCAUAUUCAGUGAAUCAUCGAGUCUUUGAACGCAUCUUGCACCUGCUGGUAUUCCAGCAGGUACGCCUGUUUCAGUAUCAGAAACAACUCUUCCCUUAAGAUUUUUUUCUUAAGGGGACAUUGAGGGUAUCUGGCUUAGAAGUAAAAUCUCUAGCCCGGAGACGCUUUAAAUGACUUAAGGCCUGCAAGCCAAAGUUUGAUUGCGCCUGAACUUUUUCUUAAUUUCAAGCGAAAGCUCUUGCGAACUAGAACUUUAUUAUUGCCUUGGGGGCCUCCCAAAGAAAACAUUCAACAACUUGAUCUGAAAUCAGGUGGGAUUACCCGCUGAACUUAA
rnacentral:rRNA from 1 species